GAAAUGCGAUAAGUAAUGUGAAUUGCAGAAUUCAGUGAAUCAUCGAAUCUUUGAACGCACCUUGCGCUCCUUGGUAUUCCUUGGAGCAUGCCUGUUUGAGUAUCAUGAAAUCUUCAAAGUAAAUCUUUUGUUAACUCAAUUGGUUUCUACUUUGGUAUUGGAGGUCUUUGCAGCUUCACACCUGCUCCUCUUUGUUCAUUAGCUGGAUCUCAGUGUUAUGCUUGGUUCCACUCGGCGUGAUAAGUUAUCUAUCGCUGAGGACACUGUAAAAGGUGGCCAAGGUAAAUGCAGAUGAACCGCUUCUAAUAGUCCAUUGACUUGGACAAUACUUUUAUGACCUGAUCUCAAAUCGGGUAGGACUACCCGCUGAACUUAAGC
rnacentral:misc_RNA from 1 species